UACGAAGGUGGCAAGCGUUACUCGGAAUUACUAGGCGUAAAGGGCAGGUAGGUGGUUGGGUAAGUCUGUUGUGAAAGCUCCUGGCUUAACUGGGAGAGGUCAACAGAUACUGCUCGACUUGAGUAUGGGAGAGGGUACUGGAAUUCCCGGUGUAGCGGUGAAAUGCGCAGAGAUCGGGAGGAACACCGAUGGCGAAAGCAGGUGCCUGGACCAUUACUGACACUCAGCUGCGAAAGCUAGGGGAGCAAACAGG
rnacentral:rRNA from 1 species